GUGCUUACUCCAGCAGCCCACACACUAAAGUUGGUAUGAUACCAAGACAACUAGCACGGCCGCUGCACAAGGAUGACGUGCAAAUCUGUGAAGCAUUCCAUGUGAAA
rnacentral:snRNA from 1 species